rnacentral:rRNA from 1 species
UACGUAGGGGGCUAGCGUUGUCCGGAAUCAUUGGGCGUAAAGGGUGCGUAGGUGGCGGGGUAAGUCUGGUGUGAAAUCUCGGGGCUCAACCCCGAAACUGCACUGGAUACUGCCUUGCUCGAGUACUGGAGAGGAGAUUGGAAUUUACGGUGUAGCAGUGAAAUGCGUAGAUAUCGUAAGGAAGACCAGUGGCGAAGGCGAAUCUCUGGACAGUUACUGACACUGAGGCACGAAGGCCAGGGGAGCAAACGGG